AUUAUAGAGCUGAGAUGCUCUGGAGGCCCUUGAGUUCAAUUACUUCACUUGAGAGGCAGGGAAGCCAAGAGCCAGAGAAGUUAAGGAGUUUGCUUGAGGCCACACACCCAAGUGAUGAACGGUGGCACCAACGGGGACCCGAAUCCAACCUACCGGGAUGAUCUCCGGUACGGGGACGCACGCCGUACACGGCGCGGAGUCUGCUUCGGGCAUCGCGAGCGAGCGUGAACACACGCCGGCCGUCUCAUCUGGGCUGCGCCCUCGCUCCCGUCUGUUCAGGUCGCUGGUGUUUGCUGACGUAUGAAGGUAAACCCGAGCGGUCACGUCGCCCCCGCUCCGUAUCUUCACCCACAUCUGCUCGUCUGCACCAAGGACAUCUCCUUCGAUGACCACAACACCAGCACUGGAACAAAGUAAGCUGAUGAAAUGGGUUCUUUGGUGCCGCUGAGCAUCCGGCCCACGUUCCAAUCUCCCGAGUAGUACCGGGAAUGCCUUUUUGCGAGGGUCACGUGAAUAAGGAUCUAGGCCAGAGCUGGCUGGUGACGCCGGGCCUGACCUCCAGCGGCACCUGUAACGCAGACGCCCACCAGUGCGCGGGCUGCCCAGCGCCGGGCUCUCUUCUCUAGGCGCUACAGGCCAGGGGGAGAGGGGCGGUGUGCGCAUGCUCUCUCCACCCUGACUCGGAAGCAGAUGGUCCGACUGGCUCUGCCAAUCAGGUAGCUUGUUCGCUAGCCAGCUAAUUACCCUCUAGUGCAGCCUGAUCGUCAGGACCCCCACUCCGUCCGCCAAACGGGAAAUAGUACGAGCUCGCGGAGGUGAGUGAGUGCGGGGCAGACGGACGGGGGGCUGGCACCUGGGGACUCGGGACCCCGCCGGCUUUAGAGACGCGACCCCACGGAGGGCGGCAGGAACCACGUCCUCCACGGUGUCCCGCCGGGGCUCACGUACCCCUGGGAUGGCAACAAGAGACACGUGUCUCCUCCCAGAGGCCGAGUGACAGGGUGGCGUUUGAAGUUCCACCUUCAGAUGCCCAGACCUGUGUUUUCUUCCCUCUGCCUGAGGUUACUCGCCGGUCACCGUGAGCGGCACGGCACUGAGCCGGGACGGGAGAACGUGUAGGUUUAGGAGAAGAAGCCUCGUUUCUUGUGGAAACCGGCUGCUCCCUCCCACGGGUGAGGUCGCGGGGCCCCGCUGCGUCGGCAGCCGCCUUCCUCGUGCUCCCCGGGCGCCCGGCGCAGGGCCGGCGCGUCACCCACCGGGAGCUGCGGGACAGCCUGCUGGCGGCACGCUCUAGCUCCACCUGCUGGCCGCCUUGGGACACCCGCCUGUUCCCAAAGCGUGGAGGGACUGUCCAAACUCUCAAUGGGUUCUGGGCCAGCAACAAAGCCUACUUCUCCCCACCACGAAACACAAUGCCUCCGCUGAGGGUUUUAGGGACAGGAAACCACUUGGCCUGGCACGAAGGUCGCUUUGCUCCACUUUGAGAGGCACCGCUGCUCCUCGGCAGCGUCUGGGGCAGUGGUGCGGGCAGCGGGCUCCCGGUGGAUCACGUGCACCUUUGGCAUAACACUCAUUUACCCAGAACUAAAGGACCCACAGGUGGUAACGGGGUGUGUGUGGGGG